CGCGUAGGUGGUAGUGCAAGUCUGAGGUGGAAUCCUAUGGCUUAACCAUAGAACUGCCUUGGGAACUGCAUUACUUGAGUCAGUGAGGGGAGGGUAGAAUUCCUGGUGUAGCGGUGAAAUGCGUAGAUAUCAGGAGGAAGGCCGGUGGCGAAGGCGGCCCUCUGGCGCUGAACUGACACUGAGGCGCGAAAGCGUGGGGAGCAAACAGGAUUAGAUACCCUGGUAGUCCACGCCCUAAACGGUGGGUACUAGGUGUAGGGCUCGUAAGGGUUCUGUGCCGAAGCGAAAGCAUUAAGUACCCCGCCUGGGGAGUACGGCCGCAAGGUUGAA
rnacentral:rRNA from 1 species